rnacentral:rRNA from 1 species
GAUGAACGCUAGCGGCAGGCCUAAUACAUGCAAGUCGGACGGGAUUCAGGAGCUUGCUUCUGAUGAGAGUGGCGCACGGGUGCGUAACACGUAUGUAACCUACCUUUAUCAGGGGGAUAGCCUCUCGAAAGAGAGAUUAAGCCCGCAUAAAAUCACAGCACAGCAUUGUGUAAUGAUCAAAUAUUUAUAGGAUAAAGAUGGGCAUGCGGAACAUUAGCUAGAUGGCGGGGUAACGGCCCACCAUGGCGACGAUGUUUAGGGGAUCUGAGAGGAUGGCCCCCCACACUGGUACUGAGACACGGACCAGACUCCUACGGGAGGCAGCAGUAAGGAAUAGUGAUCAAUGGGCGGAAGCCUGAACCAGACAUGCCGCGUGCAGGAAGACGGCCCUACGGGUUGUAAACUGCUUUUAUACGGGAAUAAACCCAGAUACGUGUAUCUGGCUGAAUGUACUGUAAGAAUAAGGAUCGGCUAACUCCGUG